rnacentral:rRNA from 1 species
GAUGAACGCUGGCGGCGUGCCUAAUACAUGCGAGUCGAGCGAACAGAUAAGGAGCUUGCUCCUUUGACGUUAGCGGCGGACGGGUGAGUAACACGUGGGUAACCUACCUAUAAGACUGGAAUAACUCCGGGAAACCGGGGCUAAUGCCGGAUAACAUUUAGAACCGCAUGGUUCUAAAGUGAAAGAUGGUUUUGCUAUCACUUAUAGAUGGACCCGCGCCGUAUUAGCUAGUUGGUAAGGUAACGGCUUACCAAGGCAACGAUACGUAGCCGACCUGAGAGGGUGAUCGGCCACACUGGAACGGAGACACGGUCCAGACUCCAACGGGAGGCAGCAGUAGGGAAUCUUCCGCAAUGGGCGAAAGCCUGAAGGAGCAGCGCAGCGUGAGUGAUGAAGGUCUUCGGAUCGUAAAACUCUGUUAGUAGGGAAGAACAAAUGUGUAAGUAACUGUGCACGUCUUGACGGUACCUAAUCAGAAAGCCACGGCUAACUACGUG